rnacentral:rRNA from 1 species
AUUCCAGCUCCAAUAGCGUAUAUUAAAGUUGUUGCAGUUAAAAAGCUCGUAGUUGGAUUUGUGGCGUGCGCUGCGGCGUCCAUUAUUUUGGUUUCGCCGUGGCCGUGCCAUCCUUGGGUGGAUCCUGUGUGGCAUUAGGUUGUCGUGCAGGGGAUGCCCAUCGUUUACUGUGAAAAAAUUAGAGUGUUCAAAGCAGGCUUAUGCCGUUGAAUAUGUUAGCAUGGAAUAAUGAGAUAGGUCUUUGGUCCUAUUUUGUUGGUUUGCGGGCCAGAGAAAUGAUUAACAGGGACAGUUGGGGGUAUUCGUAUUCCAUUGUCAGAGGUGAAAUUCUUGGAUUUCUGGAAGACGAACUACUGCGAAAGCAUUUACCAAGGAUGUUUUC